AACAGAUACUGCAUUUCUACAGGGACACCAGAAUAGGACUGCAACUGCUGUGAUCACUCACCAGCAUGCCAGACCUGGACUGCCCUUCUCUGGCUACACACUUUCUGUCCUGUCCCCUGAUGCCCUAAUAUUCUCAACACUCCUUCUCUUGGACAAAAGGAGUUGUCCUCUUCUGCCUCUGCUAUGCCCUAGUCUCCUUUUGCCUCUGCCCCUACCUACCACAGUCCAAGGAUUCCUGGUACACAUCUACAGAAUUUCUACAGUAGCACUGCCAGCAUUACUUGAAGAUUUAGCAAUAUCAGGGAACUGUAUAAGGGAUGGCAGCUCAUCUUCUUCCGGAAGACAUCUUAAGAAUUUAUAUUGCAUUCUUUCAUUGAGGUACAUAUAACCAGAGGGAGAUGGCUACUUUCAAACUACAGAAGUAAGUAUGUUUAUUUUUUUUUUCUGCCAUAUGCUGUAAUUAAGAAAAACCUGUAUCUCCAGCCUUUUGAUGGAGAAAAGCCUUGCUGUUAAAUUAAAUGUCUGUUCCACUUUUUAGAGGAUCUGGACUACAUGACUGUGAUGCUUCUUCUAAAUUGGAGUAAAGAUGAUGCAUUUGUCUAGGGCAAUAAAACUGAAUCUUGCAGGUGAUUAUUUUAUUGG
rnacentral:lncRNA from 1 species